GGCUCAGAACGAACGCUGGCGGCAUGCCUAAUACAUGCAAGUCGAACGAGAUCUUCGGAUCUAGUGGCGCACGGGUGCGUAACGCGUGGGAAUCUGCCCUUGGGUUCGGAAUAACUUCUGGAAACGGAAGCUAAUACCGGAUGAUGACGUAAGUCCAAAGAUUUAUCGCCCAAGGAUGAGCCCGCGUAGGAUUAGCUAGUUGGUGGGGUAAAGGCCCACCAAGGCGACGAUCCUUAGCUGGUCUGAGAGGAUGAUCAGCCACACUGGGACUGAGACACGGCCCAGACUCCUACGGGAGGCAGCAGUAGGGAAUAUUGGACAAUGGGGGCAACCCUGAUCCAGCAAUGCCGCGUGAGUGAUGAAGGCCUUAGGGUUGUAAAGCUCUUUUACCCGGGAUGAUAAUGACAGUACCGGGAGAAUAAGCUCCGGCUAACUCCGUGCCAGCAGCCGCGGUAAUACGGAGGGAGCUAGCGUUGUUCGGAAUUACUGGGCGUAAAGCG
rnacentral:rRNA from 1 species